AUGGCUUCUUGGCCUUUUGGCUAAGAUCAAGCGUAGUAUCUGUUCUUUUCAGUUUAAUAUCUGAUACGUCCUCAAUCCCUGGACAAUAUACUAAAUGAAUUUUUGAAAUUAGGAGUUAGAACAGGAGCUUGCUAGGUCCAUUCCACACAUCGACCUGGUAUUGCAGGACAAGGGCAGAAAGCAACCACA